UGGCAAUGGAUGUGUUAAGAGGGUAGAGAAGAAUAACAGGCAAUUCUCUUAGGGCAGAAAUGCUUUGUGCAUUUGCAUGCAUAAGUGCCCAUUCCUGCCAAAGGAGAAUUGCCCUGCCAUUCUACUACUACAUCUGUUCCAUUUCACUACUUAAUUUCCCAUGCACCAGCACUACGUUCUUUCUUGAUUUGUAUGUCAAAGAGGGUGUAGAAGUAGUGAUGAGCUACUUGGAGAAAGUCCACACGAGCAUCAUACAAAAGAAAACUGUUUGUAGUAAAUACUUCACAAUGGCAAAAGUAUUCUGUAUUUCUGUUACUCCAUCCAUAAUAGAAGUACUAGGAGUUGGAGGUCCCUUUAUGAAAGGUUCUUUCAAGCUUAAGGCUAUCAUUAAUUAUUCAAUAUAGAGGGAAUUGUCCUAGGUUUUUCAACCUCAAAUUUGCCAACAUCUUCAUAUUAGGAAAUGCCACUAAUACUGCUAAAUAGAUAUCAUUUUCAAAACUUGUUAAAGCAUUAACAUGUAAUUAGAAUAGCUUUACUUUUAUAUAAAUUUACUACCAAUAUCAGUUAUGCACUAAGCACAAUAUAUCAUUUUGAAAAUUGUAAAAUUCUAUCUCAUUAGAUUUAUUGUUCUUGCUAAUAAGUAUCCUAAAUACACUUGUUAAAGUGUAUUUAAUAUUUCAUUAGAUAUUAUUUUUAUACAUUUUUCAAAAUAAAAUAAAAUAAACUUGUGGAGAAAUAUUAGAAAGUGAUAUACGAUCACAAUGCUUGUGGUUAUAAAUCAAUGAAUUAUUGAUAAGUGUAUUUUAAUAUUUUUUUAAAAAAAUAAUUAUACAUUAUAUGAAUUAUGCAUUCCUUCUUGAUCUAGACAAUUCUAGACCCGCCAAUAAACUACCCAUGUUCUCAACCCUCUCGGUUUUUAUUUUACCAUAACAGCCUGCAACGAUUUUAUAUAUUUUUGAGUGGUGUCAAUGAUGUUAUAAAUUUUAUUAAAUAUGUUUUAUAUUACAAAAUUGAUGUGCUGCUGAUAACAAAAAAUAAUUUAGAUCUUUAUUUAUAAUAUUUUUCAAAUGAACAAAUCACAUAUUUAUUGUCAAACCAGUUUGUGGAUUUUAUUGCAUAAAUUUUGUAAUAACUUUAACAUUUUCUUAAAUCUUUAUCAUCAGCAACUAUUUUGGUACUUACUUGAAUUAAAAUUUACAACAUGAGUUUAGAAUUUUUUUCUAAAAGUUCAAAAUACCUCCAAGAUUUUAAAAGUAAAUAAAAUUUCAGUGGCAAGAAGCAUAAAAUAAAAAAUAAAAAUAAAAAUAAAAUAAAAACAAACAAACAAAAACACUCCAUUGUACAUCCCCAUUUUAGAUAUAGUUAUCAUUUUCUAUGUUAUAAGACGAAAGAUUCUCAAAUAUUGAUGAAAUUGAAGAAGAAAAAAAAUUGACACGGAAAGUCAAUUGAGAUAGGCAAAGACGAAAGGAAAGCAAUUGAGUGAAAUCCAACUCUUGAGAGAUUGUGUGAAUCUAAUCUAUACAAGGGUGAUAUUUAUAUAUAUAAUGAGAAUAAAAAUUUAAAAACCAUUUUUAAAUAAAUCCUCUAAUUGUUACAGUAGAGCAGUAACUAACAACUAACAGACCGACCAAUUUAGCUAAUUUUACAACUUUUAUAACAAUAUGUAACUUUGCAACAAUCAUAUCUAAUGCACACUUGUUUCAUUGAAGAAUUGACAAUAACUUCAUCAAAAUCUUUUUAUUAUUAUUAUUAUUAUUAUAUAAUAGAAUUUCAACUUAUGACAUUCACUUUAUGGCCAAUUUUUUUAUUAUUACGUAAUAAUACCAAUAGAUUUUUAGUAUUAAAAAAAAUAUUUUUUUUUUUUAAAUGAAACUAAUACAACAACAAAAAUAAAGACUAUAGUUUAUCUAUAAAAAUUUUCACAGACAGAUCAAAUCAUCAUUGCUUGAUAAGAAUAACUAUUUGCUUCACAUCAUUGAUAAUUUUAGUUGGAAAACAUGGGUUUCUUUUUUAAAAUAAAAAUUUGAGGAAUUUUAAGUCUUUAAGAAAAAUCAAAACAUUUGUGGAAAUGUAUUAUGACUAUGAAGUUAAGGUCUUGAGAUUUUGAAAGAGAAUGUGAAUUUCGACCAAAUGGAUCUAAAGAAUUUUAUAAAACAAAAAGUUUUUUUUAAUCAAUUUUAAGGUUCUCAUAAUAAAAUGGUGUAAUUGAAAGAAAUAAGAAAUCAAUUAAUUUUUAACAGAAUAAAGUUUAGCUACAAAAUUAAUUGUAGCUUAAGAAAAUCCUUACUCAAAAAAAUAUAUAUUACUAUAUAUUUUGAAAAUAUAACUAUUGAUUUGCAUGUUUUUUACGCUCUUAAUACAAAUAUCAAAUUUUGUAUCAAUUAUAUAUUAUUUAUUACAUUAUCUAUAAGCUUAUAUUUUAUGCAUAAUUUUAAAUUACAAAAACUUGAAAUUUAAAAAAUAUUAUUGAUGGCAUAGCUAUUGAUCUUAAAUUUUCUUGAAAUUUUACAAGUAUAGAGAAUAUAAGAAGAAAAUGUAAUGCAAUGAUGGGUUUAUCAAAAUUCACCUUAAAUAAAAAAAUAUUGAGUAAAGCAUGUAAGAGUAUAGAUACAAAAAAUUAGUAGAAGCAUUUAAUUAUAUAUGAAGUUUAAUUGUUCAAUCGUUGUCCCGUUGUCCGAUAAGGACUGUACAAGAAAGAAGUCACAAGUUUACACCUCUCCAUGGUCCCAGAGGCCUAGAAUUCUUACGAAUAGAUUAGAGCUGAAUAUGAUUGUCGGCAAAAGUAAUUGUAAACUAGAAUUGUUUGGAUCAGAAUUCCACCUCACAUUUUGGUUUUUGGGUUAUGUUUCAAUUGUGAAAAAGUAGUAGAGAAUUUGUUAAAACUGGUCCAAUUGUUUUGGGAGAAUUUGGGGAAAUUAUUACAGGGUACAUUUCUUUAAUGUUAUAAGUGUUUUAUUAACAUAAUUAUCUAACUAAAAUAAGUUAAAUGUAACUUGUUAUUGGAAAUUGCAGAUCUAUGUAAUUAGAAAUUGCCUGUA